CCAGACUCCUACGGGAGGCAGCAGUGGGGAAUAUUGCACAAUGGGGGAAACCCUGAUGCAGCGACGCCGCGUGAGUGAAGAAGUAUUUCGGUAUGUAAAGCUCUAUCAGCAGGGAAGAAAUAGCGACCUUUGGGUCGCCAGACGGUACCUGAUUAAGAAGCCCCGGCUAACUACGUGCCAGCAGCCGCGGUAAUACGUAGGGGGCAAGCGUUAUCCGGAUUUACUGGGUGUAAAGGGAGCGUAGACGACGAUACAAGUCUGAAGUGAAAGCCCGGGGCUCAACCCCGGGACUGCGUUGGAAACUGUGUUGCUGGAGUGCUGGAGAGGCAAGCGGAAUUCCUAGUGUAGCGGUGAAAUGCGUAGAUAUUAGGAGGAACACCAGUGGCGAAGGCGGCUUACUGGACUGUAACUGACGUUGAGGCUCGAAAGCGUGGGGAGCAAACAGGAUUAGAUACCCCCGUACG
rnacentral:rRNA from 1 species